UUCAAGAACUACCUGGAUGCAAUCCUGUGCACGUUGUUCCAGGGGACACUGCUUGAGCAGGUGCUAUGACUACUCUCAGUUACCAACUCCAGUGCCCCCAUGAGCUGGAAUCAGACACAGAGUUUGCAAAGACUCAGCACCUGGGGAAAGGUGCUGCCCUCCCUUAGGGAGAUCUUUUGAAGAACCAGGUGCUACACUAUUACCAGGAAUCAGGUCAUGGCAAGUGUUUACUUUUCACAGUGUUUGAAGGCAAAUCUGUGUUACCAUGUGCUGUUGCCUUGUAAGAGUUGGAAAAGGAAGGAAUGCCUUGUACCAGUCUGUGUGCACAGUAAAGGAAAAUUUUCAAGAAGUUGAAUGAUCACCUGG